AUAUAUGGUACAUUCUACUCUACCACCAUGACUUUUCUCCAGAUUAAAAAAGCAAGUCAGGAUGUAAAGGUUGGAACUCCAUUUGAGCUGAAUCUUCAAAGCAACAAGCCGAUGAAAGAGAUCAGUUAUAUGGUGGUAUCUAAAGAACAAAUUGUGGCUGCGGGUAAAGUAAACGUUGCAGAAUUCUUUUUAACACCAGAGCAUUCUUGGGCUCCUACAGCAUGCAUAAUUGCCUACUAUGUGA